GUGAGCGGUGUGUGAGGCUGGCUGGGAAGACGCUGGCGGUGGGGAGGGGGGGAUUGAAAGGAAGCCAGGUGGUCCCAGGGAAGUGGCGGUUGCUGACGCCUGGAAAUCCCCCUGAAGGUGGAGCACUACCCAACCCCCCUGGGUCCCACCCUCCCUCAAGGCCUCCUCCACCUCCACCUCCACCCCGCCUGGCCUGGCGUCCACCUCUUCGGCUCCUACCUGGGUGCAAUCGAGUUAAAUGGCUGAUAAGCAGAUCAGCCUGCCAGCCAAGCUCAUCAAUGGCGGCAUCGCCGGGCUGAUCGGUGUCACCUGCGUGUUUCCCAUCGACCUGGCCAAGACCAGGCUGCAGAACCAGCAGAACGGCCAGCGCGUGUACACCAGCAUGUCCGACUGCCUCAUCAAGACCGUCCGCUCCGAGGGCUACUUCGGCAUGUACCGGGGUGAGGUUUGGCUCGGCUGGGCUCGAUAUGGGCAGGCCUGGGUAGCGCCCGC
rnacentral:sRNA from 1 species